rnacentral:rRNA from 1 species
AUGGAGGCCAUCCGGAAGCAGGCAUCCAAGCUCCGAGAGCAGGUCGCCCGGCAGCAGCAGGCCGUGCUGAAGCAGUUCGGGGGCGGGUACGCAGACAGCGUGUUCGCGGACGAGGGCGAGGCGCAGCAGCACUCGAAGCUCGAGAAGCUCUACAUCUCCACGCGCGCCGCCAAGCACUUCCAAAGGGAUAUAGUUCGUGGGGUCGAGGGCUACAUCGUCACAGGCUCGAAGCAAGUCGAACUAGGCAAUAAGUUAUGUGAGGAUGGCAAGAAGUAUGGUGUUGAGAAUACCUGUACCAGUGGGAGUACAUUGUCGAGGGCAGCGUUGAGUUUUGCGAAGGCGCGAUCCCUGAUGGAGAAGGAACGGGCAAACCUGCUGAAAGCGUUUGGCACCCAGGUGGCAGAGCCACUGAGAGCCAUGGUGAUGGGAGCUCCUUUGGAAGAUGCUCGUCACCUUGCCCAAAGAUAUGACAGAAUGCGUCAAGAAGCUGAAGCACAGGCCAUUGAAGUUUCAAAGCGCCAAAUGAAAUUAAGAGAGACAUCUGGAAAUGGUGAUAUGAUUUCAAGGUUAGAGGCUGCUGAGUCGAAGCUGCAAGAGUUAAAAUCAAAUAUGGGGACUCUAGGCAAAGAAGCUGUUGCAGCAAUGACUGCUGUUGAAGCCCAACAACAAAGGCUGACAUUACAACGACUUAUCGCGAUGGUUGAAUCUGAGAGAAGUUACCACCAAAGGGUCCUUCAGAUUCUAGAUCAACUUGAAAGAGAGAUGGUAUCUGAGCGACAAAGAAUUGAAGGAGCACCUCCUCCUGUCAUUGAGAAUUCUAUGCCGCCGCCACCCGCAUAUGAAGAAGUUAACGGCAUAUUCAUGAGGACUCCAACAGUUGCAGAAUUGGUGGAGACAGUGGAGCACUUCCUGGCUGAGGCAAUCCAGUCAUACCGAGCUGAGAGUGAAACUGAGCUCAAUCUGUCAACUGGCGACUACGUAGUUGUUCGGAAGGUGUCAAACAAUGGGUGGGCUGAAGGUGAGUGCAGGGGGAAAGCUGGCUGGUUCCCUUCCGAGUUCAUCGAAAAACGGGACCGUGUACUGGCGAGCAAAGUCGCCCAGGUCUUCUAG